AAUGCUGAUGGCAUUCAGUCAUCUGGUCAGAACCUGCCAGAACCCUCCAUCCCAGCAUACAGUCUCAACGUGAAUGCAUCUGCAGAGAGCUCUGGGUUGCUCCAAACCAUCUUCCUUCAAGGCCACUGGUUGAAUGUGAAGUGUGGGCAGGAUGAUGCCAAUUGGACCCAUCCAGGAUCCCUACCUCAUUUCAGGCCAGAAGAAAUUAACAUACAGCAUAAAAGAAUAAGAUCAGACUUCAGGAAGAACCACCAGACGGGGCUGGAAAACACAGACAAGAUCACGGAGUUCCUUUGGGAAAGGUUGCCCCACGCCUUGAACCUCCCUCAGUUUCCCUCUCAGUCUCUUCAGCUCCUGGCCAGCUCUCUUCUCCUCUCGCCUUGGAGGGUCUCCCACCACCUUGCAGAACAUCAGCACCCACCAAAUUCCCUUGCCUCUGCCCAAGGUCUCCACCCAGCCUACGUGGGCAAAAUUUCAAAUUCCAAAAUAAAAACUCUCUGAUAACGAGUCCCAGCCGGAAAGACUGAUGCACUUUCCUAUUGUUAAAGUAUUUUUAGUCACAGGCUCUGGAUUCGUUUAGAGACUCACGUUCAGAAAGGGGAAAAUUUUUUUUUG
rnacentral:lncRNA from 1 species